AAAUUGAAGAGUUUGAUCAUGGCUCAGAUUGAACGCUGGCGGCAGGCCUAACACAUGCAAGUCGAACGGUAACAGGAAGCAGCUUGCUGCUUCGCUGACGAGUGGCGGUCGGGUGAGUAGUGUCUGGGAAACUGCCUGUUGGAGCGAGAUAACUAAUGAAAA
rnacentral:rRNA from 1 species